rnacentral:rRNA from 1 species
AGUGGCGGACGGGUGAGUAACGCGUGAGAAUCUGCCUUCAGGUCGGGGACAACAGAGGGAAACUUCUGCUAAUCCCGGAUGAGCCUUAGGGUAAAAAAUUUAUUGCCUGGAGAUGAGCUCGCGUCUGAUUAGCUAGUUGGUAAGGUAAAAGCUUACCAAGGCAACGAUCAGUAGCUGGUCUGAGAGGAUGAGCAGCCACACUGGGACUGAGAGACGGCCCAGACUCCUACGGGAGGCAGCAGUGGGGAAUUUUCCGCAAUGGGCGAAAGCCUGACGGAGCAAGACCGCGUGGGGGAGGAAGGCUCUAGGGUUGUAAACCCCUUUUCUUUGGGAAGAACAAAAUGACGGUACCAAAGGAAUCAGCCUCGGCUAACUCCGUGCCAGCAGCCGCGGUAAUACGGAGGAGGCAAGCGUUAUCCGGAAUGAUUGGGCGUAAAGCGUCCGCAGGUGGCAAUGUAAGUCUGCUGUCAAAACCCAGGGCUCAACUCUGGUCAGGCAGUGGAAACUACAUAGCUAGAGUUCGGUAGGGGCAAAGGGAAUUCCCGGUGUAGCGGUGAAAUGCGUAGAGAUCGGGAAGAACAUCGGUGGCGAAAGCGCUUUGCUAGACCGAAACUGACACUCAGGGACGAAAGCUAGGGGAGCGAAUGGGAUUAGAUACCCC